GAUGAACGCUGACAGAAUGCUUAACACAUGCCAGUCUUUGGCGAAGCUGUGCUUGCACAGCCUAGCCAAGGCGGACGGGUGAGUAACGCGUAAGGAACUUGCCCUGCAGUCAGGGAUAACAGACGGAAACGACUGAUAAGACCUGGUAAAGUCAGGCGGACUCAUGUCCAGCCUGAUGAAAAGAGAUGCUGCAGGAGAGCCUUGCGUCCUAUUAGCUUGUUGGUGGGGUAACGGCCCACCAAGGCGAUGAUAGGUAGCCGGCCUGAGAGGGUGGACGGCCACAAGGGGACUGAGAUACGGCCCUUACUCCUACGGGAGGCAGCAGUGGGGAAUAGUGGACAAUGGGGGCAACCCUGAUCCAGCAAUUCUGUGUGCACGAUGAAGGUUUUCGGAGUGUAAAGUGCUUUCAGCAGGGAAGAAAAAAAUGACGGUACCUGCAGAAGAAGCGACGGCUAAAUACGUG
rnacentral:rRNA from 1 species